rnacentral:rRNA from 1 species
UGCCAGCCGCCGCGGUAAUACGUAGGGGUCAAGCGUUGUCCGGAUUUAUUGGGCGUAAAGCGUACGUAGGCGGACUGAUCAGUCAGAGGUGAAAUCCCAGGGCUUAACCCUGGAACUGCCUUUGAUACUGUCAGUCUUGAGUUCGAGAGAGGUGAGUGGAAUUCCAAGUGUAGAGGUGAAAUUCGUAGAUAUUUGGAGGAACACCAGUGGCGAAGGCGGCUCACUGGCUCGAUACUGACGCUGAGGUACGAAAGUGUGGGGAGCAAACAGGAUUAGAUA